rnacentral:rRNA from 1 species
UCCAGACUCCUACGGGAGGCAGCAGUGGGGGAUAUUGCACAAUGGAGGAAACCCUGAUGCAGCGACGCCGCGUGGGCGAAGAAGUAUUUCGGUAUGUAAAGCCCUAUCAGCAGGGAAGAAGAAAUGACGGUACCUGAGUAAGAAGCCCCGGCUAACUACGUGCCAGCAGCCGCGGUAAUACGUAGGGGGCAAGCGUUAUCCGGAUUUACUGGGUGUAAAGGGAGCGUAGACGGCGAUGCAAGCCAGAUGUGAAAGCCCGGGGCUCAACCCCGGGACUGCAUUUGGAACUGUGUGGCUGGAGUGUCGGAGAGGCAGGCGGAAUUCCUAGUGUAGCGGUGAAAUGCGUAGAUAUUAGGAGGAACACCAGUGGCGAAGGCGGCCUGCUGGACGAUGACUGACGUUGAGGCUCGAAAGCGUGGGGAGCAAACAGGAUUAGAUACCCGCGUA